AACGACUCUCGGCAACGGAUAUCUCGGCUCUCGCAUCGAUGAAGAACGCAGCAAAAUGCGAUACUUGGUGUGAAUUGCAGAAUCCCGUGAAUCAUCGAGUUUUUGAACGCAAGUUGCGCCCGAAGCCUUCCGGCCAAGGGCACGUCUGCCUGGGUGUCACAC
rnacentral:rRNA from 1 species